rnacentral:lncRNA from 1 species
UCACCACUUAAGCUGAUCCUUAAUGACUCAACCAUUUUUUAGAUUAAUCACCAAAUAUGCAGUAACCUCCGGUCACUUCCAGUCAUCUUGCUGGCUCACCAUCACCAUCUUCCUGUACGCAUCAUUAACCCACUGUACCCUGUUUAAACCAUCCGAUAUAAACCCGGAACACGUGUCGUUCUCAUAUUCUCCACGUCCGUACUAACCAUUGACACCAUAUCCAUGCACUUGUCUGCCAUACUCUCCACUGUCAACUGCGUCCCCACUAUUCUCUUUCCGGUAAUGGGACCUGACAUUUCGAAACCACGCAUAUCAUCAAGCAACUGUUUAUUAUUGACGCCAAAUAAUAAAUCCUCAUCUUUUCUUAUGAUGGAGAGCUGGGACUGAAGAAACAACAGUAACCAUCUGACAAACAUCGCUUUUCUGGUAUUAGAUCAGUAGUUCUAAUCAGAAAUCAAUUGCAACGUUAGCUUGAGACCAUGAUGUUCUGUUUCUGUUACUUGAUUUGAUUAUAUUGGUAUCAUCUUUUGCCUUCCUGUCUUCUGAUACUGCUCCAAACUAUUCUUCUUAACCCUAACGUACUUUCUCUUCUUUCAUCAUUUAUUAACCAAUCCAUUCUUAGUCUCUGACUUCCAGUUACUGGAACGUUAGUCUCCUGUGACCAGUUUUGAAGCAAAUUGGCUGGAAUCUGAGCAUUAUCUGAUUGAUUAUUAUCUUAUCUUUAAGGUAGGAGGACCAAGCUUCCACGGGCCACCCAUCUCCACCAUAUAUAUCUCCUCUUCCACCACCACUUCCACUCACUUCCACUCUCUCAGAC